AGCCCUUUGCCAGCAAAAACACCCUCUCCCUCCUGGUCCAGCUGGACAUAUCAGUGUAUGGCCAGAAAACAGUGAAAUGAAUCCCCAACUCAUUGGGAUAAAUAAGUUGCACUGGACAUUUUAAAAUUUCAAAUUUAAUUACAACAUACAUAAAUAAAUAGGACAGACAGCAACAGGACUAUGAUGAGCAGCAGCCUGGAUUCAAGUUCUGCGAUUUGUGCUUUAUCUUCUUUGUUCCUUGAGGACCCCUCCUGCCCACUUCUCUCUGAGAGUAGGAAGGGUACAAAGAGUCCACUGGGGCCUCCUUCCAGCACCCCUUUUCUGGGGGUAGGAGAUUCUGGAAUGAGGGGCACCAACUCCUCAGUAGCACCUCUGAUUUAUCAAUUUUCCUCCUGCCACCAGUGAAAAACACAAAGGCUUUGGCCUCUAGAAGCACCCACGGCCACCCAGCCACGCUAAUGGAAAGGGCUCUGCCCCAUGAGCCAGAUCUUUUCAUGUCAAUUUUCUGUCCAAACCCUUCUCAACCAUCAAAGGUCAGAAAAUUGCACACAUGAGACAAAUACCUGGGCCCUUAACUUACCAACACACCACCACAGAGAGGCCACCCUCCCUUACUCCAAGCCAGAUCCCCAACUCUGGGAUCUCUGGAUGAAUGUUCUCUUUCUGGCCUGACUCUAAUCCCACCUUUCAGUCCUUCCAGGCCCACCCCCAAGAGCUAAGUCCCUAUUUCAGGGCCUGGGAGCCCCUUAGGGAUGGGGUGGGAGAAGCAGUUAUUUCCGAUGCUUGGCAUCCUUCUCCGAAGCCUUGGUUUCACCAUGCCCACUGCCCACACUGCUUAGAAACAUCUUGUCCAGCCCCUUGAGUGACUCCAGCAAAUAGUUCUGGAAGGCAGUGAGGGCAGCACAGAUGGCAGGCCCACCGAAGCCAUGGGUGAUGAGGCUAAAGUGUGUCAAGCAGCUCUGUACUCCGGGCUCCAGGAUGAGUGCUGGGCGGCUGUUGCCCAGCGGUGAGCGGUCCUGAGCCAUCAAGUCUGCAAACUCCUUGCAGAUCUGCCUGGUGCGAGAAGGAGGGUCAGAGGUUGGAGGACAAAAGUCUGAGCCCAGAGAAGGACCUGCUACAUGCUAGGCAUUUUACAGACAUUAGCUACACAAUUGCUGACCCUCCCAACAGUCUGCAAAUGAUGACCAUACUGUUUUUUACAGAAAAGGAAACUAAGGUUCAGAGAAGUCAUUUGACUAGCCCAGUAUCACACAGCUAAUAAACAGCACAUGUCGAUCACCCUGUAAUGUUUCUUUUUUGGAUGUCUGGCCCAUAUUCAUUCAAAGUGCAGCUCAGCUACUUACUACCUUAUAUAGGAAACUUUCCUGGAUUCCCUCUCCCACCCCAAACACUCAAUGCUUCACAGAACUUUGUCUUUGAAGCUAUCAGGAAACAAUCCAGAAUCUGCCGGAAAUAAUAACUAGCAGUGAAUAUAAUUGAAGGCUGGAUGCUGUGCCAACCACACUGUCUGCAUCAUCUUAAUCUUCAUAACAAGUCUAUACUAUUAUUAUCCCCAUCAUACGGACAAGAAAACUGGUUUCGGACAGGUUGGAUGACCUGUCAAGGUGACCGAGCUGGGAUUUGAACCUAGCUCUAGUUUGCAGCCAUUCAUUAUUCAUUCCUUUGUGCGUCCUGUGUGUGGCUCAGGCAAGAGAAUCACUCAUCAUUCAUCUUUGUGUCACCAUGAAAGCCAGCCAGUAUCUUACACAUGACUGAGACCCACAAAGUGCUUGAUGAAUGAGCUGAUAAGUGAACGAGGUGAGCCCCGUCCUGGCUAGGUUUCUCCAGCCACAGUAUGAGCAGCCUCAGAGGUCUCUCCAUUUGGCAGUCCCAGGAGUCUGUGCUUCCUCUUCUGCCUUGGGCACUUGAGGAAAGCCUCAAAGGCAGGAGGGUGGAGUUGUCAGUUUGAAGGACUGUGUUAGGUGGGAGGACUGGAUGUUCUAAGCCGGAAACAAACCCAAGGAUGUGAGGACAGGGUUGGCAGAAGUGGGUGGAGUUUGUGUGGGCCAGACUGUGGGGCCCUCAAAAGAGUUUGAACUUUAGCCUACCAACUGGUAGUUCUCAGAUUUAUCUCUCUCUUUUCUUUUUUUUCCGAGACAAGGUCUUGCUCUGUCACCCAGGCUGGAGUGCAGUGGUGUGAUCCCAGCUCACUGCAGUCUCAACCUCAGCCUCCCGAGUAGCUGGGACUACAGGUGCGCACCAUCACUCCUGGCUAAUUUUUUUUUAGUACAGAUGG
rnacentral:lncRNA from 1 species